CUGACAAACUAUUUUCUGAUUUAAACAAAAAUAUUGAAUGGAUAAGAUAUCUGUACAACAUUAAUACAACAUCCAUGCCAGGUUUAUCGCAUGCGGAAGAAGGGCAAUUGUUGGAAUUAGCUUCAGACGGAUUCUUGAGAAAUAAACAUAAGGAGUGUACAUUAUCAUCAUUUUGGUUGCAAAUGCAACAUGUGUAUUCAAUUUUAACAGAAAAAGUCCUGAAAUAUAUCUUCAUGAGAAUUAACAGAGAGACUGUCGGCCCAGAAUCCACUCUAGAAAGCAAUUCUAGCGAGAAUAAUUCUGAAAGAGAAGAAACACAACUGGAUACCAAGUCGAAUGAGUUACA
rnacentral:lncRNA from 1 species